rnacentral:rRNA from 1 species
UGGGGAAUAUUGGACAAUGGGCGAAAGCCUGAUCCAGCCAUGCCGCGUGUGUGAAGAAGGUCUUCGGAUUGUAAAGCACUUUAAGUUGGGAGGAAGGGUACUUACCUAAUACGUGAGUAUUUUGACGUUACCGACAGAAUAAGCACCGGCUAACUCUGUGCCAGCAGCCGCGGUAAUACAGAGGGUGCAAGCGUUAAUCGGAAUUACUGGGCGUAAAGCGUGCGCAGGCGGUUAUAUAAGACAGAUGUGAAAUCCCCGGGCUCAACCUGGGAGCUGCAUCCAAAACUGGCAAGCUAGAGUAUGGUAGAGGGUGGUGGAAUUUCCUGUGUAGCGGUGAAAUGCGUAGAUAUAGGAAGGAACACCAGUGGCGAAGGCGACCACCUGGACUGAUACUGACACUGAGGUGCGAAAGCGUGGGGAGCAAACA